UACGUAGGGUGCAAGCGUUAAUCGGAAUUACUGGGCGUAAAGCGUGCGCAGGCGGCUUUGCAAGACAGAUGUGAAAUCCCCGGGCUUAACCUGGGAACUGCAUUUGUGACUGCAUGGCUGGAGUGCGGCAGAGGGGGAUGGAAUUCCGCGUGUAGCAGUGAAAUGCGUAGAUAUGCGGAGGAACACCGAUGGCGAAGGCAAUCCCCUGGGCCUGCACUGACGCUCAUGCACGAAAGCCAGGGGAGCAAACGGG
rnacentral:rRNA from 1 species